GCCAAAUGAUGUCAAAGCAGACUUCAUGAGCACUCUGUGCCAAGAUGACUCCGAUCUAUCACCCAAGACUGAUGGCU